UACAGAGGUCUCGAGCGUUAGGCGGAAUCACUGGGCUUAAAGCGUGUGUAGGCGGAUCGGUAAGUACCUUGUGAAAUCCCACAGCUUAACUGUGGAACUGCUUGGUAUACUGCCAGUCUUGAGCCAGCUAGGGGCUACCGGAACAAAUGGUGGAGCGGUGAAAUGCGUAGAUAUCGAGAGGAACACCUGCGGCGAAGGCGGGUUGCUGGGCUGAUACUGACGCUGAGGCGCGAAAGCGUGGGGGAGCGAACAGG
rnacentral:rRNA from 1 species